rnacentral:siRNA from 1 species
GGCCUGGGGAUUACGGGC